GAAAUAAUGCUACCAGACUGCACAAAAAGUCUGCCCGUUCCAAGUCGGGAUGAAAGCAGAGGAUUUC
rnacentral:ribozyme from 2 species